AAGAAGAAAACUGUGUCAUUCAUUUUCUGUCAAGGGGAGAAAAAGCCAUUUUCCAACAAAUUCCAAACAAUUCUAGAUCUGAGAAAAAAGAAGAUACCUUUUGAUCCUUGGAAUCAAACAGAGACAUCUCAGCAAAACAGCAGGAAUAGAGGAAGUCUGGACAUAGAUCUGAAUCCUGGCUUAUGAACUGUUUCCAUCUAGAUCUCAAGACCAUCCUCCAUGGGGAUGUUUUCCAAACUGCUGCUGGUCUGAGAUGACUGAAAUGAUGGCUUUUAGAACUUCUCUGUGGUUUCCUGUUAACGUACAUCUAUUGCUUCAGAAUCAUACCUGGAAGGCUCGAGCCCUGUCUGGUGAUAAAUGUUAGUCCUCAGGAAAAAUAUUCCAAAGCUGGUGUAGCCCUUGAACUAGAGGAUGAGUAAGGCUGCCUGAAAAUUGGAGCCUUACCCUUCUUGUGCCUCAGCUGCAGUCCAUGCACUACAGAAAGAUAGAUGGAAUCACUGGGAUCUGCCUUUUGAACCGGGCUCUGCAGAAAGAAAGCUGCAGAUAUUGAACUUCAAAGCAAGAGAUAACUGAGAGAAAAAAAUGUUCCAAAUGGUG